rnacentral:lncRNA from 1 species
AGGCAGGAGGCGGGAAGCGGCGGAGGGUGUCUGAGGGUGCUGAUGUCUGAAAAUCCUUUAGGUGGCUUUACCAGAUGGAGGAGGAAAGUGGCUGAACAAAGUUAGGAGCAAUGCUGAAGAUGUGACGGCAGCCCAACCUGUUAGUGGUACGGAGCCAGGAUCACCUCUCGCCUAGGCUUCCUGCCCUGCAAACAGCAGGACCUCACAGAUAUCAAGCAAACAUGAUCAGCCCAAUGUGCCAAGGCAGGGUGUGCAUGCUUGCCCAUGGCAGCCAACAGCAGCUCUGCUUCAUUACAGAGAUCUGCCUGCGAUGAUGGGGCAGCUAACAUGCAAGUCCUGCCCUCUGUCCUGCCAGCAGUUGAGCUAGAAUUUAAAAAUACUGAGUUUUAUGGGUUAUGUUUUUGGGUUUUUUAAGUGUUGCUGUAAUUUGGGCGGUUCUGUAAACAGGCCUCUAGCUCUGGGUGGGGUCACAAAGGAAGCCAGACUGAAGCCAGUGGAAUUUUUUACAUUCAUGAAACUUUUGGUAACAUGAAGAGAUUAGGACAGAAGGUGGAGGCAGAUGAGGAGUGAAAACAAAUCUAGGGCCAGGGUUUAUGGCUGGGGUGAGGACUUAGGCAGAAGGCAUGGUGUCCUCAGCCUCCGCAUUCUUCUCUUGCCAGGAGGCAGCUGCAGAACCCGCCAGCAAGCAGUGAUUCACUUCUCUCUUCAUUAGAGAAAGCUUCAGAUGAAUGAUAACGUUUCUGGCUGUUCUGGUACUUAUGCUGAUUUUCUUUUUACCUUCUGUAAUAAGUAUGUCCCUGAGAAAUUUACACUUAUUAAAAAAAA